rnacentral:rRNA from 1 species
CGGCGCCGGAGGAUGGGUCUGCGGCCUAUCAGGUAGUAGUGGGUCUAAUGUACCUACUAGCCUACGACGGGUACGGGUUGUGAGAGCAAGAGCCCGGAGAUGGAUUCUGAGACACGAAUCCAGGCCCUACGGGGUGCAGCAGGCGCGAAAACUUUACAAUGCCGGCAACGGCGAUAAGGGAACCUCGAGUGCCAGGUUACAAAUCUGGCUGUCGUGAUGCCUAAAAAGCAUCGCAUAGCAAGGGCCGGGCAAGACCGGUGCCAGCCGCCGCGGUAACACCGGCGGCUCGAGUGGUAACCGUUAUUAUUGGGUCUAAAGGGUCUGUAGCCGGCCGGAUAAGUCUCUUGGGAAAUCCAGCAGCUUAACUGUUGGGCUUUCAGGAGAUACUGUCUGGCUCGAGGCCGGGAGAGGUGAGAGGUACUUCAGGGGUAGGGGUGAAAUCUUGUAAUCCUUGAAGGACCACCAGUGGCGAAGGCGUCUCACCAGAACGGACCUGACGGCAAGGGACGAAAGCUAGGGGCACGUACCGGAUUAGAUACCCGGGUAGUCCUAGCCGUAAACGAUACUCGCUAGGUGUCGGCCACGGUGCGACCGUGGUCGGUGCCGUAGGGAAGCCGUGAAGCGAGCCACCUGGGAAGUACGGCCGCAAGGCUGAAACUUAAAGGAAUUGGCGGGGGAGCACUACAACGGGUGGAGCCUGCGGUUUAAUUGGAUUCAACGCCGGAAAUCUUACCGGGACCGACAGCGAUAUGAAGGCCAGGCUGAAGACUUUGCCGGAUUAGCUGAGAGGUGGUGCAUGGCCGUCGUCAGUUCGUACUGUGAAGCAUCCUGUUAAGUCAGGCAACGAGCGAGACCCACGCCCACAGUUGCCAGCGUACUCUCCGGAGUGACGGGUACACUGUGGGGACCGCCGCUGCUAAAGCGGAGGAAGGAAUGGGCAACGGUAGGUCAGUAUGCCCCGAAUAUCCCGGGCUACACGCGGGCUACAAUGGUUGGUACAAUGGGUAUCUACCCCGAAAGGGGAUGGAAAUCUCCUAAAGCCAAUCUUAGUCCGGAUUGAGGGCUGCAACUCGCCCUCAUGAAGCUGGAAUCCGUAGUAAUCGCGUUUCAACAGAACGCGGUGAAUACGUCCCUGCUCCUUGCACACACCGCCCGUCAAACCACCCGAGUAGGGUUUGAAUGAGGGCGCUUCCUCUGGAGGCGUUCGAAUUUGAGCUCUGCAA